GUUGUAGUCCUACAUGUUGUCUACACACUGGAAUUGAUAGAUCACGUAAACGUUGCACGAUUGUCAAGUUAUAGAGGUCUAAAGUAGGCAUCACGAACUGUUCUUCACGAAGAACAGCUCUGACAGCUACUUUGAGGUACGUUUUCUCCCAGAUCUGAUGUUGUUUAGAGGUUAUGUUUGUUGAAUGUUGUAGUCUUGUAUUUUCUAUACAAGACCCAAUUUAUAGAUUGUCCAAAUUCGUUAAGAUAAGAGAGUUAUUCACGGUCAAAGUAGCUCACUCGGUUCUGCCUUAUGAAGAUCUGGGUAGGCUCAAGAACACCUAUAGCGACGGUUCUGUCACUAUAGGGGCCUUUAGCGACAGUUUUAAUUAUUUUAAUUUCUGAUUUUUCGAAAAUGAUUUAAAAAAUUAGAAAAAUUAGAUUUUAAUUAUUAAAAAUACCAAAUAAAUUAUGAAAAAUUAUUUUAAAGUCUGAAAAAUAGUUUUUAACUAUUUUGAGUAUAUUUCACAAAUAUUUAGUUUUUUUGGAAUAUAAAAGGUAUUUAUUUAUUUAAUUAUAAUAUUAAAUAAAU
rnacentral:lncRNA from 1 species